rnacentral:rRNA from 1 species
AACCCUUCGGGGUUAGUGGCGCACGGGUGCGUAACGCGUGGGAACCUGCCUUUAGGUUCGGAAUAACUCAGAGAAAUUUGAGCUAAUACCGGAUAAUGUCUUCGGACCAAAGAUUUAUCGCCUUUAGAUGGGCCCGCGUUAGAUUAGAUAGUUGGUGGGGUAACGGCCUACCAAGUCGACGAUCUAUAGCUGGUCUGAGAGGAUGAUCAGCCACACUGGGACUGAGACACGGCCCAGACUCCUACGGGAGGCAGCAGUGGGGAAUAUUGGACAAUGGGCGAAAGCCUGAUCCAGCAAUGCCGCGUGAGUGAUGAAGGCCUUAGGGUUGUAAAGCUCUUUUACCAGGGAUGAUAAUGACAGUACCUGGAGAAUAAGCUCCGGCUAACUCCGUGCCAGCAGCCGCGGUAAUACGGAGGGAGCUAGCGUUGUUCGGAAUUACUGGGCGUAAAGCGCGCGUAGGCGGCUUUUCAAGUCAGGGGUGAAAUCCCGGGGCUCAACCUCGGAACUGCCCUUGAAACUGGAUGGCUAGAAUACUGGAGAGGUGAGUGGAAUUCCGAGUGUAGAGGUGAAAUUCGUAGAUAUUCGGAAGAACACCAGUGGCGAA